rnacentral:lncRNA from 1 species
CUUGGGUGCUCUGUCUGGCUUUCUCCUUCUUGAAUCACCCUCUCUGAGGGAAGCCAGCUACUAUGUUGUGAGGACUCUCAUUCUCAAGGUGACUGUAAAGAGGUACACAUGACAAGAAACUGCCAGCAACCAGAAAAGCCUCAAGGAAACCAAAUUUUUAAGAGGUUACUUGAGGUCUACUCUGGGUCCCAACAGAAGGAAAAUAUGGAACACAGGGCUCUAGAAAAGAGAAUGGGGAAGACACCUUGAAGGGAACUUUCCAUGUCAAAGACUCUAACUUGCUGG